rnacentral:rRNA from 1 species
GAUGAACGCUGGCGGCGUGCCUAAUACAUGCAAGUCGAGCGAAUGGAUUGAGAGCUUGCUCUUAUGAAGUUAGCGGCGGACGGGUGAGUAACACGUGGGUAACCUGCCCAUAAGACUGGGAUAACUCCGGGAAACCGGGGCUAAUACCGGAUAACAUUCUGAACCGCAUGGUUCGAAAUUGAAAGGCGGCUUAGGCUGUCACUUCUGGAUGGACCCGCGUCGCAUUAGCUAGGUGGUGAGGUAACGGCUGACCAAGGCAACGAUGCGUAGACGACCUGAGAGGGUGAUCGGCCACACUGGGACUGAGACACGGCCCAGACUCCUACGGGAGGCAGCAGUAGGGAAUCGUCCGCAAUGGACGAAAGUCUGACGGAGCAACGCCGCGUGAGUGAUGAAGGCUUUCGGGUCGUAAAACUCUGUUGUUAGGGAAGAACAAGUGCUAGUUGAAUAAGCUGGCACCUUGACGGUACCUAACCAGAAAGCCACGGCUAACUACGUGCCAGCCGCCGCGGUAA